rnacentral:rRNA from 1 species
UACGUAGGGCGCAAGCGUUGUCCGGAAUUAUUGGGCGUAAAGAGCUCGUAGGCGGUCUGUUACGUCCGCUGUGAAAACCCAGGGCUUAACCCUGGGCUUGCAGUGGAUACGGGUAGACUAGAGGCAGGUAGGGGAGAAUGGAAUUCCCGGUGUAGCGGUGAAAUGCGCAGAUAUCGGGAGGAACACCGGUGGCGAAGGCGGUUCUCUGGGCCUGAUCUGACGCUGAGGAGCGAAAGCGUGGGGAGCGAACAGG